GGAGAUCCUUCAGCCAUAGAAGAAAAAAAUGGAUAUCUAUAGAACAAGAACAAAGCAAGAACAAGAAAAAAAAGAGCAGCUAAAUUGAAGAUACUUAGCAUCUUCUUAUUCUGUCUAACCUAUGCAAGGGGUAAUCAAAAUCUAAUAAGAUAGUUGGCAGUUGGCAUCAACAAAUUACUAAUCUCAAAUCAAUACAAAUUUAGUAUCCACUUUCCCAGUAAAAUUGCAGUAAAACAAAGUACUAGUAUUAUUAGAAAACAUAAAAAUAAGUUCAUCAGUAGACAUGUAAAGAAAAGAAUCCAGAUCUACUCCUCUAUAGCUGAACUUCUUAAUCGUUCUCUUCCUUGGCUAUCAAUCGCAACAUCAGCUUUAACUUUCGCCAUGGAUUUGGGACGUACUAGGGCUUAAGAAAGUGACAACGGCUAGAGUUUUGGAGACGAUGAUGGAAGGAGGGGUUGGGGACGAUGACGAUGACGGAAGGAGGGGUUGGGGAGGACGAUGACGGAAGGAGGGGUUGGGGACGACGAUGAUGACGGAAGGAGGAGUUGGGGACGACGAUGAUGACGGAAGGAGGAGUUGGGGAUGACGAUGAUGACGGAAGGAGGGGUUGGGGAGGACGAUGACGGAAGGAGGGGUUGGGGACGACGAUGAUGACGGAAGGAGGAGUUGGGGACGACGAUGAUGACGGAAGGAGGGGUUGGGGACGAUGACGAUGACGGAAGGAGGGGUGAGAA
rnacentral:lncRNA from 1 species